rnacentral:rRNA from 1 species
GACGAACGCUGGCGGCGUGCUUAACACAUGCAAGUCGAACGAAGAGCGAUGGAAGCUUGCUUCUAUCAAUCUUAGUGGCGAACGGGUGAGUAACGCGUAAUCAACCUGCCCUUCAGAGGGGGACAACAGUUGGAAACGACUGCUAAUACCGCAUACGAUCUAAUCUCGGCAUCGAGGAUAGAUGAAAGGUGGCCUCUACAUGUAAGCUAUCACUGAAGGCGGGGAUUGCGUCUGAUUAGCUAGUUGGAGGGGUAACGGCCCACCAAGGCGAUGAUCAGUAGCCGGUCUGAGAGGAUGAACGGCCACAUUGGGACUGAGACACGGCCCAGACUCCUACGGGAGGCAGCAGUGGGGAAUCUUCCGCAAUGGACGAAAGUCUGACGGAGCAACGCCGCGUGAGUGAUGACGGCCUUCGGGUUGUAAAGCUCUGUUAAUCGGGACGAAAGGCCUUCUUGCGAAUAGUGAGAAGGAUUGACGGUACCGGAAUAGAAAGCCACGGCUAACUACGUG